CUUCCCGGCCCCAGGCCCCGGCUCCGGAUCCGGCCCCAGCGCCGCGCCGCGCCCCCGUCCCGGUUCCCUUCCCUUCUCCCCGUCACUUCUCCCGUCCUCUCCUCCCAUUCGGUUCUCUACGCCCUCUCGUCUCUUCCCCUUCUCGCCGCUCCCUGCUGCUCACCUCCUCCUCUUCCAUCUUCUUUCCAUCCCCUAUUCCCCUCUUCUCCCUCAGUGCCCUGGUCUCCCUCUCGCCCCUUCUUUUUCCCAACCGUCAUCUCCAUUCCCCUCUGCCUUUCUCCCAUCCUCUUCUUCUCGCCCCAUCUCCAUCAUUUUCUCCCCAGCUCUUCUCCCCUUUCUCUUCUCCUUACCCCUUCUGCUUGAUCUCUCUCCAGCCUCUUUACAUCAGAUUCUCCUUCCCCACCUCUCCUUUUAUCCUUUUCUUCCUAUCCCUUUCUCCCCGUCUCUUCUCCCCACCUUUCUCCCCAUCCCCUUCUCCCUGUGUCUUUCGCCUCACCUCAUCAUCCCCUUUUCCUCACGCCUUCUCCUCAUUCCCUUUUCUCACCCCUGCCCUUUUCACUACCCGCUGUCUCUUCCCCUUCUUCCAUCGUAACCUCGGCCUUCUCCCCUGUUAGUCACUUUUCAUUAUCCCAUGAUUUCUGUCUCUUUUCUCUCCUUCACCCCCAGGCUCCCUUUCCCCCACUUUCUCUUUAUCCCAAAUUUGAGGGUAGAGAUCGGGAGAUAUUGGAAAGAAGAGCUUUGGGGAUGGUGGUCCCACUCACGAUAUACUCCCUAGAAAAAUUAAGUGAGGAGGAAACCGGGCAGGGAAGUGGGAAGGGGCUCAAAAAACCAACUUGGGAGAGAAUAUGGGGAGAGGGGAAAUCAGACAGAGACAAAGAGCAAGCAAUCUUAAAGGAACUGGGAAGAGUUCUGACUCCUGUCCUUCUUCCUUAGGACUGCGAGUAGACUGUGAGAAAAACAGGUUUUCUGGACUUGAGAUGUGUACAAAUGGCACAAAGAAAUCAGGAACUUCUGUGGAGAAGGAACACAGUUUCAGCUGAAGAAGAAGGGAGUGUGAUUUUGGAAGAGGAGUGAGGGAGAGACUGGGGUCCUUGAUCAUAUCCACGGCGCUUGGGCAGCUGGGUGGAUGGAUGGUGGUGAGGCUGGCUGUGCUCCACAAAAGGAGCAGCAGGAGGCUGCAGGGGGUUCGUAUGAGGAGAUGAUGACUGUGACUUGGGGCUGCUGACUUUGAAGUGCUGGUUGGCCCUUCGCUUAAACUGAAGAGAAGGACAUCUGUUCUGGGAAAACAUGUAAGAUGGCUGAAAAAGUGAUCCUAAUGAUGAGAAAGACACUGCUUGUGUUGAGUAUGCAUAAAAUUGCUUCAUAAUUUAUGAGAAUGGAAAAGACAAUAUUUAUCAGUUAUAUAUUUUUAUAUGAUAUAUGAAUUUAAAUAUAUGUCCAAUAAAGUCCAUUAAC
rnacentral:lncRNA from 10 species